CACCACUGCACUCCAGCCUGGGCGACACAGUGAGACUCCGUCUCAAAAAAAAAAAGAACUAAUACUUAAAGAUAAAACCUGUAAGGAUAUAAGAACAUGUGAAAGUUACACCAUGGGCCAACAAAAACUAACCCAGGGUGGCUAACAGUAAGACCAGUGGACAACAGCAAAAGGAUCAAAUCACUUACAAGGGGAAAGAAAAUCAACUGGUUUCAGAUUUCUCUAUAUUCAGGCUGGGUGUGGUGGCACGUGACUGUAAUCCCAACUACUCCGGAGGCUGAGGCAGGAGAACUGCUUGAACCCAGGAGGUGGAGGUCGUGGUGAGCUGAGAUCGCGCCACUGCACUCCAGCCUGGGCGACUCUAUCUCAGGAAAAAAAAAAGAUUUCUCUAUAUUCGACAAAACUGUCCUUCAAGUAUAAACCUAUAGGCAAACAGCUUUGAACAUACACAAAUUAAUGGACUGCUAGAGGGGUGAACACCUAAUAAAUUUAACUUUAGAAUGAAGACUAAAACUACCAUGGCAACUGGGGUGAUUAAAGAGCUUGUGAAUGUUAUGCGGCAGUGUAGAAAUGACAUUCUAACCAAAACUGGGCUGGGAAGAAUAAGGGAUCCCUGGCCCCCUCCAGGCUCCCUGAGAAAGGCUGGCCCCUAUGAGAUCCAGAGCACACAGCAGAGCACGUUCAAGGGCAGGUGAGUCCCUCCUUUAUUUAUUGGUGGCCAAUUAAGAAAAUGAAAACUCAGAAACUGGUUUUGGUCAGAUACAAAAAUAAUAUUCUUACCACGUUGUGAAUGGAGAUGAGAGGAGAUGGUGGCAGCUGGGAAUUAAAAAAAAAUUUUUUUACUGAUAGCAAUGGCUUUGGCUACUCCAGGAUGCCAAGAGGAGCACAUUCUGUGGAUAUGAGUAGAUGUAGGGAGGCGGCUUCUAAGGAAGCAGGCUUAUGAGUAAGAGGCUGGAUGGCCCAGACAUCCACUUUUUUGUUGUUCUUGCUUUUCUGUUUUGUUUUGUGUUUUUUGAGACAGUCUCGCUCUGUCGCCUAGGCUGGAGUGCAGUGGCGCGAUCUUGGCAACCUCUGCCUCCCAGGUUCAAGCGAAUCUCCUGCCUCAGCCUCCUGAGUAGCUGGGAUUACAGGCGCCUGCCAUCACUCCCAGCUAAUUUUU
rnacentral:lncRNA from 1 species